rnacentral:lncRNA from 1 species
AGAAGCCAGGCCAUAGAAUAGGUGCUGUCUGGUCCUUCUUGGAGCUGGUGGGUGCUCCAACAAGGCCUCUGGCUGGUGGGCAACUCAGCCUCCCUACUGGGGGACGCAGACACUUUGGUCACCACAGGGAAGACUGAGACUCCGCUGCCUCCUCAGUAAAGUGGGUGAAGUUUGGGAAAAGCUGUGAAAUCCUGGGCACAAAUCCCUACCUGUGCCAGUGGGCCCAUAAUGGGGCUGGUCCUGCCCAUCUCUGCUCUUAUUAUAACUGGCAUGAAGUCGGGAACAGGUUAAAACCUUGCUCCAUCUCUCCCCCUGCAAGUGCUCCUUGGGGGUGUUACCCUGAGCUGUUUUUCUGGAAACCCUGAAGCAGAUAACCAGCUGGUGGCCAUCUUUAUGACAAAGUUAGAGCUUCCAAGGGAAGGGAACAGGGAAUAGUUGAGUCUGUACAAGGGCCACUCAGACUUGCCACCGUGGCAUGUACAGCCAGUACUGCCAUGGCAGGCAGCGGGAUGGGAAAUGGGGGAGAGGUUCCUGGGAAGUGAGGUGCCCCAGCCGAGACAGUUGUGGGCUCCCUGCCAAGUGGGGACUUCAGAGCUCUUGCUGGCCUCUCCUGACCAGGCUGUGGGCAGCAAGCUGGUGAAGGCUAUUGUGCAAAGCAGGAGUGCAGCAAUCUGGCUACUGCUUGGGCAGAGGCGAGGGGGGGGGGGGGUGUCCUGUCCCAUUUGCCAGAAAAGUCCUCUCAGCUCCCUGGGGCAGAGGGAGGGAGCCCCCCCCCCCCCCCCAAUGAGCCCAGACCAGAAAGUCUUGCCCCCAAGGACUGUGCAGCACAAAAACCUGAAACCACCCUCCUGUCUGCAGGUCAAUGUUCAGCCAUGGCUUGAGGUGGGGGGCGACCAGGCCGGCUGUGGAAUUCAUGUCUCAGUUCCCAAGAAUGGGGUGGGUCUUCUCUCCCUCCAGGCUGUGGCCAAACUCCUGCGCCUUGAGUGGAACUGUGUUUGGAGCCAAGCCAGCGGGAGCUCCAUCGCUAUCCGCGUGCACACAUGCUGUGUCACGUUGGAAGUGACAAAAGAUUCCUCUGGGCAGGCGUUUUCCUUUCUAAACACACACCUGCGAGUUCUCACGCGCAAGUCGUCUCGGGAGGGGGGCGGGACAGCAGGGUAACUGCUAACGGGCCCUCGCUUCCGCCCAGGGCUCACGUGUCGCUUAUAUAAGCAGCUAAGGCCGUGUCCAAGGGUAUCCAAGGGUACCCUGCAGCAGGGAUGCAACAGCCGCAGGUGUCCCUCACGCCCUGUAGAGACCUCGCAGCCUGAGUAGGGGGGAUUCCAACAUCCGGCGUGGUUGUAUUUACAUUAAGAAGAAAACCUCCAGUUGUUUGUUUUUGUUUUGUUUUGUUUUGUUUGCUCUUUAGGGCCGCACUAAAGGGCAUAUGGAAGUUGCCAGACUAGGGGUCGAAUCAAAGCCGUAGCUGCCGGCCUACGCCACAGCAAUAAGGGAUCCGAGCCGUGUCUGCGACCUACACCACAGCUCACGGGCAACGUCAGAUCUCCAACCCACUGAACGAGGCCAGGGAUCAAACCCGCAUCCUCAUGGAUACUAGUUGGAUUCGCUUCCGCUGCGCCACAACCGACUCCGAAAAUCCCGUUUUCAAGGAGCUGGAGCGACUUUUUUGAGAGUUCCAGCCGCCGCCUCCCCUCACAGGUUUCCUGUAGUAUCUAAAUCUGUCGGGCACCGCGCUGCGCAGCAGUCAACCACCCAGAUAACU